rnacentral:rRNA from 1 species
UACGAAGGGGGCUAGCGUUGUUCGGAAUUACUGGGCGUAAAGCGCGCGAGGCGGACAUUUAAGUCAGGGGUGAAAUGCCGGGGCUCAACCUCGGAACUGCCUUUGAUACUGGAUGUCUGGAGUUCGGGAGAGGUGAGUGGAAUUCCGAGUGUAGAGGUGAAAUUCGUAGAUAUUCGGAGGAACACCAGAAGCGAAGGCGGCUCACUGGACCCGAUACUGACGCUGAGGCGCGAA